rnacentral:rRNA from 1 species
AGUGGCGGACGGGUGAGUAACGCGUGGGUAACCUGCCUCAUACAGGGGGAUAACAGUUGGAAACGACUGCUAAUACCGCAUAAGCGCACAGGGUCGCAUGACCUGGUGCGAAAAACUCCGGUGGUAUGAGAUGGACCCGCGUCUGAUUAGCCAGUUGGUGGGGUAACGGCCUACCAAAGCGACGAUCAGUAGCCGACCUGAGAGGGUGACCGGCCACAUUGGGACUGAGACACGGCCCAAACUCCUACGGGAGGCAGCAUG